AACGAACGCUGGCGGCAGGCCUAACACAUGCAAGUCGAGCGGACCCUUCGGGGUUAGCGGCGGACGGGUGAGUAACGCGUGGGAAUAUGCCCUUCUCUACGGAAUAGUCCUGGGAAACUGGGGGUAAUACCGUAUACGCCCUUUGGGGGAAAGAUUUAUCGGGGAAGGAUUAGCCCGCGUUGGAUUAGGUAGUUGGUGGGGUAAUGGCCUACCAAGCCGACGAUCCAUAGCUGGUUUGAGAGGAUGAUCAGCCACACUGGGACUGAGACACGGCCCAGACUCCUACGGGAGGCAGCAGUGGGGAAUCUUAGACAAUGGGGGCAACCCUGAUCUAGCCAUGCCGCGUGAGUGAUGAAGGCCUUAGGGUUGUAAAGCGCUUUCAGCUGGGAAGAUAAUGACGGUACCAGCAGAAGAAGCCCCGGCUAACUCCGUG
rnacentral:rRNA from 1 species